CAGUCCCCGCAACCCAACCAAACAGGACACACAAUUAGGGUUUUUAUAAGGCGGGAAAAAAGACGAACACAGGAGAGCAGAGCGGAGAAUGAGAGGAAGAGAGACAACGAGAGAGAGAAACUUGCAGUAAUGGCGAACAAGCUGAUCAACGAGAUGGGGCUGCCCAAGGCCCAAGCAGAUGGAAAACAUAUUCGCCGCGGCCGGCGCGUAGCACCAGAACGGCCAAGGUUGCACCAUCUUUGACUGAAUUUGAGUUGGUGGAGUUAUUAGAUGUGAGGUUUGCAUAAGUCACAUCUACCAUUCCGCACAUCAGUGAGAUUACCUAUCCACCAGAUCAAACUGUAACCCCAAGAUCUUGCUUACUUUAAUUUCUUUGAAAGCAUUCCAUGUUAGGACAAUGAUUCCCAUUUGUCCAGUGCAUAUAUGUUCCCAGAAGCUGAUUUUUAGUUGUGUUAUCGAGGCGCUAUCAGCCUAUCAUUAAUGGACGAACAAAAUCAGGCCGUCUCCCCACUCAUCUGAGAGGAUUAGAUGUGGCCUUCUGUGGAGGAGUUCCGUUAGGUGUUUUGACUGUGCUGGUUGGUCCAGCUGGGGUCGGCAAAAUACAGCUUUCUCCUUCAGGUCAGAGGUAUAUUAAGGUGACAAAAUGUCCAAUAUCUCCACCUCUGGAUUUUCCUUUCAACAUAACUUCCUCUGGGAUUUCAUUGCCGAGUGACAAGGGUACACAACUCACUGGACAAGAGAUAUACACGAUUAGUGGUCAAGGAUUGCUAUUGGUACUUCUUUGUUUGGUGAAUAUGCAAAACCAAUACUUCGUAGGCAUUCAAGGCACUAGUGGCAUAGAUCUCACAGCCUCAUAUGAAUUACUUUUAUUAUUUUGCUAUGAGCUUAUCUACCUGCGAGUUUGGUUGACAUUAGAUUUUUGGGUAUGGAGUUUGAACUCUUACGUCUCUAUCAUUUCAAUGAAAUGGUUCCAAGACAUAAUGACAUUUUAAAGCUGCACAGGGAGAGUUUGCAGUAGUCGAUCAUGAUUGAGGGUGCAGUCCUCAAAAUGAAGGCAUGUUACUUCACGUUGGUACCUCAGUUGAACUGUCUUACUUUAUCUUUUUUACUGUUUGAGAAAGCACAAUUUGCAAUUGGGUAUUCAUUAGUCAUCACUAAAUUAUAUUUUAUUUAUAUGUUUCUUGUUCAGCAGUGUAAUGGGAACAGUCCCAUGGUCCACAUUCUUUCCAUA